rnacentral:rRNA from 1 species
ACUACGGGAGGCAGCAGUGAGGAAUAUUGGUCAAUGGACGAGAGUCUGAACCAGCCAAGUAGCGUGCAGGAUGACUGCCCUAUGGGUUGUAAACUUCUUUUAUAAAGGAAUAAAACGAGGCACGUGUGCCUUUUUGCAUGUACUUUAUGAAUAAGGAUCGGCUAACUCCGUGCCAGCAGCCGCGGUAAUACGGAGGAGCCGAGCGUUAUCCGGAUUUAUUGGGUUUAAAGGGAGCGUAGAUGGGUUGUUAAGUCAGUUGUGAAAGUUGUCGGCGCAAACGGAAAAUUGCAAUUGAUACUGGCAGUCUUGAGUACAGUUGAGGUAGGCGGAAUUCGUGGUGUAGCGGUGAAAUGCUUAGAUAUCACGAAGAACCCCGAUUGUGAAGGCAGCUUACUAAACUGUGACUGACAUUGAGGCUCGAAAGUGUGGGUAUCAAACAGGAUUAGAUACCCGAGUAGUC